CACCAAGCCACUAGCCCAUAUAGUUGUAUAGAGAGAGAGGGAGUGGCGUGAGGUGGCUUCCAUUUCUAGAGUGAAGAAAGGAAAAAGAAGAAGAAAAUGGUUCAAGCUAGGGGUUUGAGCAAGGAGGUUAUUGGAUUCUUGAUUGGAUUGGAUUCUUGAUUUUCUAUCAAGAAGAGGUAGCAAAUAGGUUUCUCUGUGGCACGUGUGGUGACGUGAGGGGUUCUAUCGUCGUGGGGUGUAUGGCGUGGGGCAUCCUAUGGACGGAUAAAUGAUCACUUAGGACGCCAUUUAAAUUUUGAUUAUGUUUUAAGAGACUUUCUAAAUUAUCAGUGGGACUUAGUUAUUUAAUUUUGUUUCUUUUGAACUUUGCAUAAAAACUCAUAUUUUCUUUUUAAAACUAAUGGGCCCAACUUGCAUUGUUUUAAGCAAGUCCCCACUGAGACCUUUAUUAUAAGUAGUUUUCUUUUAUGAACUAAUGAUAUGUGGAUAUUUUAUUAAGUAUUAGUUUAGGACGUUCUUUACAGAAACUAUCCAAAAUUGACCUGGUCAACUUUGAUAAUUCUAAUUGAUAAUUAAAUCAAUUAAUUGAGACUAUCUAGGUGAUU